GACGAACGCUGGCGGCGUGCUUAACACAUGCAAGUCGAACGGUGAAGCGCCUUCCUUUUUGGUGGGUGUGGAUGAGUGGCGAACGGGUGAGUAACACGUGAGUAACCUGCCCCCUUCUUCUGGAUAACCGCAUGAAAGUGUGGCUAAUACGGGAUAUUCUGGGUCUGUCGCAUGAUGGGUCUGGGAAAGAUAUUGUUUCGGUGGGGGAUGGGCUCGCGGCCUAUCAGCUUGUUGGUGGGGUGAUGGCCUACCAAGGCGGUGACGGGUAGCCGGCCUGAGAGGGUGGACGGUCACACUGGGACUGAGACACGGCCCAGACUCCUACGGGAGGCAGCAGUGGGGAAUAGUGCACAAUGGGCGCAAGCCUGAUGCAGCGACGCCGCGUGAGGGGUGGAGGCCUUCGGGUUGUGAACCUCUUUCGCCAGUGAAGCAGGCCUGCCUCGUUUGUGGGUGGGUUGACGGUAGCUGGAUAAGAAGCGCCGGCUAACUACGUG
rnacentral:rRNA from 1 species